rnacentral:lncRNA from 10 species
UUGAAUAGACCCUGAUAGAAACCAGAUUGCAGGGGAGGAACGAUAUGGCUUUGAUGAAAAACAUCACCAGAAGGAAGGAAGGAGCUGGCUUAAUAAUAGUGGCUAAGUCAGAGGGAAGAGUAUUUCUAAGUAAGCUGAGGCUGUGUUUAAAUGCAUCCCAACUUAGCUCCCUGAGAGUGACUCAGCUCCCUUGGGAGGAGAGGUGUAUUAAACAUUCAAUAACUGUGUUUUUGGGGUGGUGGCAAAUACCAGUGCUGGAAGAUACCCUACUGUUAUAACCAGCUCCCCAUUCCCUCAGCUAAAAAAUCAUCAUCCCAGAGAAGAGAGAGGCAGGAAUUUCUCUGCAAGCCAGAGAGAGAUGAACAUCAGACAUCUGGAAAGAAAAGCUGAGAAUUCUAAACAGUAAAGAGUAGAGAUGAGGUUUCACUAUGUUGGUUGGGCUGGUCUCAAACUCCUGACUUCAAAUGAUCCACCUGCCUUGGCCUCCCAAAAUGCUGGGUUUACAGGCGUGAGCCACCAUGCCCAGCCACCACUGGCAUUAUGGAGUCUCACUCUGUCACCCGGGCUGGAGUGCAGGGGCAGGAUCUCAGCUCACUGCAACCUCCACCUCCCGGGUCCAAACAGUUCUCCUGCCUCAGCCUUCUGAGUAGCUGGGACUACAGGUACAUGCCACCAUGCCUGGCUAAUUUUUGUAUUAUUAGUAGAGAUGGGGUUUCCCCAUAUUGGCCAGGCUAGUCUCGAACUCCUGACCUUGUGAUCCACCCGCCUCAGCCUCCCAAAGUGCUGGGAUUACAGUCAUGAGCUACUGCGCCCGGCCAAGUCUAACACUUUAAGAACGUUGAGUUCAGUGUUGCACAGGGCUUGUCAGUUAUGACAUUUGAAAACCUAGCGCAAUAUAAACAGAAUGAAAUUAUUCUAGAAUAUUCUAUUCUAUAUUAUUUCCUCUUUUUCCUCCCUUACUUCCUUCCUCCUUUCCUUUCUUCCUUCCUUCUUUUCUUCUGUCUGUCCAUCCUUCCUUUUCUUCCCGUGUUUCUUUGUGUCCUACCUUUCUUCCUUCCUUCCAAUGACAAGUUGUAACUUUUCAUUACACACUAAGCUUUCCUGUCAGGUAAACAAUUUCAUGCUUCCUGUUUCUCAUGUAUACAGCUUCCUUUUGAAGGAAGGUGACAGGCAGAGGAUUUGCAUGGUGAUCAGAAAUGGCUACUUAGAAGAACUGGCCAUUGCUUUGAUUUUAGUCACAAAUAUAAUUGUAUCUAUCUUUACAUUUUUCUGAUACUAUACGUAAAAAAUCAUAUUUUAGAAAAAGAAAUCACUGAGAAAAUCAAUCUGUUGGGCCCAUAGACUUGAAAAUAAGCCUCAACUCUCUGGACAAGAGGUGACAUUUUCAACAUUUGAGAAAUGAGAAUUGAACCAAGUAAACAGUGUAUAUUGCUUUAUGUUUUAUAUUGCUUUUCAGGAUUCCUGAAAAUCAACAAAUUAUGUCUGUUGUGGCUAAUGGUCGUGAAGGAGGAUAAUUGGUACAAGUUAGAAAUGGUACCCUGGGCCCCCUUUUUAAAACUUUCUCUGUUAUAUUACAGAAGGUGAUUAUUUAGAAGUGGAAGUUUAUCCAGUCAAUCACUCCCCAAGAGAACUGCCAGAGUUUUAGUUUCAUAUGACUUCACUAAUUUAAGUGUGAGACAAAAAUAUAGUGCAAUAUGACAAUAAUUUGAAAAACACCAAAUCAGUAGGUUUCAUAACCUCUGAGAGCUCCAGUUUCAUUUUUUUAACCCAGAAAAUAGUAGCUGCUCCAGGGUCUAGAGAAAUACAUUCUUAAUUGGUCUUCGGCAUUAUACUUAUUCCAGGUAAAUAAAUGCCAAAGGUGUGUUAGUUGAUAAUGUUGAAGGUCAUUAACUCUGACAAUUGCACCAUGUCCUCAAAAUUAUGUUUAUCUUGACUGGCUGUAUAUCUAAAAAUGUAGCCAAGCAGAUAGAGAACAGGUCUGGUCUUGAGAUUAAAUAGUGAAAAACAUUACAGCCUGUAAUAUGUAAAAAUCUAGGGACAAUCUAUGCUUACAGAGUACAAUCUUUGCAUUUUAUGGGUUUUAAAAUUUAUUUGCAGUUUUAAUAGCAUUCACAUUUAUAGCACAAGUAUUUUGAUUUCCACACUAAUAGUGAAAAUGCAAAAUAUGGUUUCUGAAGGUUUUCAGUAUUCUAGUUAAUAUUUUCCCAGAUAGAGGAAAAACAAGUUUAGUGAUAUUGAAAAGCUUAAGCCAGGUAACAGAGAGUGGCAAUGAGUAGAUGUCACUAUUCUAGCAAUUAGUUGUUCUUUCUGGGAAACAUAGGCAAGGAAAGGGAAAUUUUUUUUUUCUUAAGCUAUAUUGUUUUUUAAAAAAUUCUACCACUAGAAGAAGCAGCUUAGUCUUAUGCCAUUUUUAGUGUCCUUGAGGUCAGGGAUUCAAUUAUGAGGCUUAAUAUGCCAAAUCUUAAAUAUAUUUACUAAUGAUAGAAAUUGGUGGAGGACAAAAAAGGAAAGAACUAAUACUGAAUAUGCUUCCUGGCACUUUGAAAACAAGUGAUUAUUAUAGCAUUAUCUUAGAAUUGUUAUUAGUAUGUGAUAAGGUUUGGCUGUGUCCCCACCCAAAAUCUCAUCUUGAACUGUAAUCCCCAUAAUCCCCAUGUGUCAAGGGAGACACCAGGUGGAGGUAAUUGAAUCAUGGGGCAGUUCCCCCAUGCUGUUCUCAUGCUGGUGAGUUCUCACGAGAUCUGAUGGUUUUAUAGGCAUUUGGUAAUUCCUCCUGUUCCACCUUGUGAAGAAGUUUCCUUGCUUCCCCUUCACCUUCUGCCAUGAUUGUUUUCUGAGGCCUCCCCAGCUAUGCUGAACUGUGAGUCAAUUAAACCUCUUUCUUUUAUAAAAUUACCCAGCCUUGGACAGUUCUUUAUAGCAAUGUGAGAAUGGACUAAUACAGUAUCUGACAGAUAAGAAGAAACUAAGGCUUAGACAGGCUCAUGUAGCCUAUGUGUGGCAGAGCUAAGAUGUGAAGCCAAGGUGUCAUCCAUUACACUGUAGUGAGUGAGCGUCUGAUCACCCAGCACCCUGUGGCAAGACCCAUCUCAGUAUCUCCAUUGCUACUGUAAUUGAGUAUGGAGUGAAAAGUAAGGAUAUGUUCUAUAGCAAAUAUGUGGAGGAUACGAAGAGACCUAGGGGAUAAACAUUCCUUGACAUCCUAUGAAACCACCAAAGCUACAGUGCAUCUGUUCAGGAUUCUACAAAACAGACAAAAAGAUGAUUAAAUAAUUGAAGGGAAGAGGUUCUUAGACCAAUCUUUUGAGGCAACAGAUUGCUAUUCGGUAAGUUGUGGGCAUAAGGUAAGGCUUCAAACCCAGUACGGUUCUACUAUUAUUCUUUUAGUCCUUUAUAUAGUGUAGAUAUUUGUCUCCUCCAAAUGGCAUGUUGAAAUGUGAUUCCCAAUGCUGGAGGUGGGGCCUGGUGGGAGCUGUUAGGGUCAUGGGAGUGGAUCCCUCAGGGUGGCUUGGUGCCCUCCACAUGGUAAUAAGUUUUUGCUUUAUUGGUUCACAUGAGAGCUGGUUGUCUAAAAGAUGCUGGCGUUUCUUUAGCUCUCUCUCUCACCAUGUGACUGCCUGCUCCUUGUUUGCCUUCCACCAUGAGUAAAAGCCUCCUGAGGCCUCACCAGAAACUGAGCAGAUGCGAGUGCCAUGCUUGUGGUACAGUCUGCAGAACCAUAAGCCGAAAUAAACCUCUUCUUUAUAAAUUACCCAGUGUCAGGUAUUCCUUUACAGCAACACAUAUCAGACUAAUACAGUCCUUUAAUUCGAUAAAGCUUUGGGGCCAGAGAGGAAUUAAAAAUAUCCCUGGGGUAUAUUAAAUCUGCUCAGAAGAAAGCAAAGAACUAGAAUAGAGUUGAGGCACCAAAUAUUUUUAGUAGCAGAAGAGCUAAGGAGGAAGUGGAAACAAAAGGACUUCAAAGACAAAUUAACUUCACAUUUGUCCUUGGUAAAACGGGCUACCAGAUUAUUGUAGAGAGCAAAACAAGUGUGUUUGAAUGGUCUGCCUUUCCCAGUUGAUUUAAUAUGUGUUAUGGACAUACUUUUCCAGAUCUCUGGUUUGACAGGAAUGAAUACAUAUAAAAAUAUCAUCUUAUUAUUAUGUUAAAAUUCUUUGAGCAUGAGAAAUUAUGACCAAAACUGACAAAAUCAUGAGGUCCAUCAAUGUCUUGUAGGCUGAAAUGCAAAAACUAGGUAAAAGGUCCAAAUAUUACUGAUAGGUGACAGAAUCUCUUCAGCUACAGAAAAAUAAGUAGAGAAGGGAGGAAAAGAGAUAGUGUUGUUAUCAUGUUACAGAUCGUGUCUGACAUAGAGAACACAGACCCGCAACAUACACAUUUAGCACCUGGAUUAGAGGCAAGAUUCAUAUAUUCUGCAAAAUGGCUUAGUUCAGUCACUCAGUGAAUCAACACAUUGCCUUAAGACAUAGAACAGUUGGCAGAUGAAGCAAGCUCUUUGUUGCUGUCUUUGCCUGUAGCUAAGGGAGAUUACUCCUGGUAAUCUUUUCAACAAUGUGAGUAUAACAAAUUGCAUCUCCUUUUUUUUGCUGUAUUCUAAAGGUGAGAGAAGAUAUUCAACUUGAGGUCCAUCUUCUCUUCCUUCCUCGCUCAGCCUGCAAACACUUUCUGUGUAGUUUUCAGAUCAGGGCACUUAUGGAAAGUCCUGGGCAUCAUAAAAAAAUGUGCUGGACAAAGAAAUUGGGCCUCUUAGAAAAGAUCAGUGGUGAAAAGCAAACAAAUUAGCAGACAAAAUAUAAAUUUAGAUUCCUUCAGAUAGGCAAAGCAAUCUGUUUACAAUUUCUGCUUUUAUAUCACCUUUCUCUUUAAGUGUGUGUACAUUGUGUAUUUUAAUUGAAUGUUACAUGAAGGAAUUAACUCCUACCUUACCCCCUGCUGCUGAGGUGUACAGUUAAUUUUAAAUGACAUACCACUUCCUCAAAAUCACAGCUAGCUUUUGGCCCUAAAGUGCUACAACAGACAUUAAGAAAAGUAGAACUGGGUGAGGAAGAAGACAGGAGGUAGGAAUAUGUUAAUCUGUCAGCAGGAAGUUUUUGAAGAUGUCUGGAGUUAAAUGUAAGAGACGAAAAGUGUUAUGAACAAGACACAGAUACAAUAAAGGUAGGAAUAAGCAUUUGCAACAGGAGGCAUCUCCAAAAAGAAGGGGGUGUAAAUUCAAAAGUGCUAAAAUGCCUUCCCAACUGAAAAGAUGUCUACUGGCUUUUGCCAGAAAUUACAACGUUAGCUAUUCCAGCUCGGUGGGGUGGUUCCUUUCACUCUGCUAGAUCACAGGAUUUUGGAGUUGAAAGAAAUUAAAGGAAAUCUGCAUGAAGGUUUUGAAUGGUUUUGACUAUUCCUUGACACCUGAGAGACAGGCAUCCUUAUGAGUGAUGGUGGCUUCUUAUGGCAGCAAUUGAAGUGUGUGUGUGUGUGUGUGUGUGUGUGUGUGCAUGUGUGUACACAUUCGGAAGAGAAUAUAGAAGGCCUUAAAGGGGCGUUUCAAAAUGGCUGUGAUUUGGAGAUACGUGAUUUGAAAAUAUUCCCCAGGUACUGAAUGGUGAUUUUUGUCAUCAUCCCCUUAAGAAACAGUGAUUAGUAGUUUUCAAAUCUAUCAUGCAUCAGAGUCACAAGAAAGGCUUACUUAAACACCAGUUGCUGCCCUCCAUUCCUAGAGUUUCUGAUUCAGUAGGUUUCAGGUGGAGUCUGAGGAUUUACAUUUCUAUUAAGUUCACAGAGGAGGCUGAUUCUGCAGGGCUGAGAACUACUGAUGUAGUUCAGUUGGAUCCAAUUGCACCUUAUUUAUUUUCUCUCCACAUUUUACAGAUGAGGAAACUGAAGUCUCAACAUAGUAAGGGGCUCCAUGUGUUUUGACUCCAAUUCCAGGCUUCUUGAUGCCAAUCAAAGUGGUAUUUAGAAAGGAGACCUUUCUCAAGAGUGGCCCAGCAGGUGUGUCAAUCAUUCAUAGCUAACCAGCACGUGGGUCAGAUGUACUGCAGCCCAGAGACAUUGCCAUCCCAGAAUUUGAUAAAUGUCUUUUAUAUUGAUGUUUUUCACCACAAAUAGCUCUCUUUGGCAUGCUGAGAAGUUCGUUAUAUUAGCCAAUGUUUUCUCCAUUUUAAUCACUUAAAAUGAAGGUUUAUUUUUUCUCUUUAAAAAUAGUAUUUGUGCAUGUUGAAAAUAUAGUAGCAGUGUAAGGGGGAAAGUAAUAACCUUUAAUUUUACCACCUAGAAAUAAUCACAGUGACUAUUUUAAAGAUUUUGAGGUUAAUUUUUUGUUUAAUAGAGUUGUAUAGGGUUUUAAUUUUUUCCCCUCAGUACUCUUUAAAAAGCAGGUAUCAAUUCAUAGAUUCAUGUGAAUAUGUAAUUCAUAUACCAUACAAUUCACCCAUCUAACGUGUACAAUUCAGUGGCUUCUCAUGUACUCACAGAGUUGUGGAAGCAUUACCACAACCAAUUAAAACAUUUUUGUUAACCAAAAGAAGCCAUGUACUGUCAGGUUCACAACUACACCAAAUGUCAUGUUGAGGUCCGAAGGGAGUGGGUAGAUGAGCAGUAAGAACACUAGGGGGGUGCUAAGCAGGUGAAAGAUGAUUUUAUUCAGCAGCAACUCUCAUCAGCAGCUUUCUUACACUAGCUCUCUACACUGCUCGCCUUUAUCUUUGUGCCUGCUCCGGCUCUGUGGCUCCUGCCGCCCCCACUCCUGCAGCUGUAUGGCCGGCUCUCCCUUAGCUUCAGGGUCAGCAGCUUAACUCUUUCUCUCUUUGGGCACGAGCCAGCCCAGCUGUGUCCUGGCUCCCCUCUGUCCAUCUGCAAAGACAGACAGCUCUGAAUCUCUCUCUCUUUCUCUGGGUGCCCGUGCCUGCAGUGUCAGGCAUUAGCCACCACACCCAGGCAUAUGAUUUUAUAUACGUGAAACAUCCAGAA